UUAUCCUGCAGUGUCUGUGAUAAUCCUGUGUCUGUGAAAUUGCAAUCUGUUGCCAUGGAAAUGGAUGGGAUGCCACAAUUGUAUGUAGCACUAGGACUUCACUUCAAGAUCAAGGAUGAGGAGAUGAGUU